rnacentral:rRNA from 1 species
AGAGUUUGAUCCUGGCUCAGGACGAACGCUGGCGGCGUGCCUAACACAUGCAAGUCAACUUGACGGAAGGAGCAAUCUGACCGUAGAGUGGCGCAAGGGUGCGUAACGCGUAAGUAACUUGCCCCAAGGUAAGGAAUAACGUCGAGAAAUCGGCGCUAAUACCUCAUAAUGCAGCGGAUCCGCAUGGAUAUGUUGUUAAAGGUUUACCGCCUUGGGAUAGGCUUGCGUCUGAUUAGCUAGUUGGUGUGGUAACGGCACACCAAGGCUACGAUCAGUAACUGGUCUGAGAGGAUGAUCAGUCACACUGGAGCUGAGACACGGUCCAGACUCCUACGGGAGGCAGCAGUGAGGAAUAUUGGGCAAUGCUCGAAAGAGUGACCCAGCAACGCCGCGUGGAGGAUGAAGGUAUUCUAUAUCGUAAACUCCUGUGAGAGCAGACGAAAGACAGAUUAUUAAUCUGGAUGACUGUAUGCUCAGAGGAAGCCCCGGCUAACUACGUGCCAGCAGCCGCGGUAAUACGUAGGGGGCAAGCGUUGUCCGGAUUCACUGGGUGUAAAGGGCGCGUAGGCGGGAUAGCAAGUCAGUGGUGAAAUCUUGCAGCUCAACUGCAAAACUGCCAUUGAUACUGCUGUUCUUGAAUGUGGAAGAGAGAGGCGGAAUUCCAGGUGUAGUAGUGAAAUACGUAGAUAUCUGGAAGAACACCAAUUGCGAAGGCUGCUUCUUGGUCCAUUAUUGACGCUGAGGCGCGAAAGCGUGGGGAGCAAACAGGAUUAGAUACCCUGGUAGUCCACGCUGUAAACGAUGAGUGCUAGAUGCCGGAUUUUUUCGGUGUCGCAGCUAACGCAUUAAGCACUCCACCUGGGAAGUACGAUCGCAAGGUUGAAACUCAAAGGAAUUGACGGGGGCCCGCACAAGCAGUGGAGCAUGUGGUUUAAUUCGAUGCAACGCGAAGAACCUUACCUAGGCUUGAAAAGCUUAUGACCGGCUGUGAAAGCAGCUUUCCCGCAAGGGCAUAAGUACAGGUGCUGCAUGGCUGUCGUCAGCUCGUGCCGUGAGUGUUGGGUAGUCCGCACGAGCGCACCCCUACUCUAGUGCAGCAUGUGAUGAUGGGACUCUAGAGACCUGGCUACGCAAGUUAGGAGGAAGGGGGGAUGACGUCAUCAGCUGCGUAUGUCCUGGCUACACACACGGUGCUUACAAUGGUUCGGCUUACAAGAGAGGGCAGCU